AUGGUGAGUAUGAAAAGCGCUACGCUGUGCUCACUGCCCGCCAGCGACGCCGUCCGGUUGUAGAAAAACGCGGUUAACAGACAGGACAUUGUGCCGAUUGCCAGGACUGCAUGUAUGGUGAAGCCAUCGUUGAGCUUCCAGGAUAGGAUGGCAGACUCCAGCCCUCGGGCGCCUCAUUAACCAGCAGGGGCAGCUGUAUAAAGGUGCCAUUCACGCCCAGCCACGUGCCUAUACCAAAGCAUAUGGCCAGCAGAUCGACGAUCAGAUUGCGAUUCUUGAAGACGCCGCCGGUUUUAUGCUCCAUCUUCUUGUUAAUGGAUCGCCAGUUGAAGAAUGCACUUAGCUCGCUUGGCUCGUCUGUGGCGCAUCUGAGAAUAAUGUACUUAGUUCCACUAAAUGUCUUUUAACACGGUAAAUGAGGCCGGCAGGUCGCUCAUGAAUUUGUACUUGUCGGGUUACACAAUGCAUUGGAUGGAAAGUGUAUAAACGGAUCAGUCAAAUAUGUCAGGAUCGAUAUACAAGUAUUAAGCAUGUAUGUUUAAAUCUUAAUUGUAAAUUUUGAAAAGUUCUCUAAAAGUUUUAAAGGCUAUUUGAAUGUUGCCCAAUUUGUGUGACUAACUUUAAUAUACUAAGCUUAAAAUA